AUGGCGUACGGUGGAGGCAAAUGAUAGUUAAUGUGAUUUAAUAGCAUUAACUUUAGUGUUUGAUACUUUCUACGUUUGACAUAAUAGAAAAGUUAAUGUGUCUACGCCCACAUUUGGGAAUUGUUUUCUACAAGCAAAUUUUUUUGGGAGCGGAGUAGUUGUUGGGAGAAUUGUUUUCUGCAAGCGAAUGUUUUUUUCUGCAAACGAAUGUUAUGAGUAGGGUUUUCUCAACAGCUAGGUUUCCUCAUCAAAGACAAAGAUUGUGCGAGAAGACCGCAUCGUGCCUGGACCUAGGUUUCUUCAUCCAAGACAAGCAUUGAACGAGUUUUAGGGGCAUAUUAUUUUUUUUAUUUUUUUAUUCAUAGUAUGAUAAUGCAACUCAAAGUGGGUGUAGGCAUAAAAUUCAUUUCAAUGGUAGUUUCUACGAUAAAGUUUUGCAUUUUGUAGACCUGCAGGGUUCUCUUUGUGAGGACAAGAUUGCGUUGUGCUUGCAGCUGGGUUUCUUCAACCAGAAUAGCAUUGUAUACUUCUAUUGCUUCUACAGUUCAGACAAUAAAAAUGCCAAACUACGUGGACUCUACUGUUACAACAUAUCCAAUGUUCUUCCAACAAGUCCAGAAUUUGCAGAAGGAGCAAUUCAAAUCAUUUGAACAGCUGACACUUGAACCUUUUGAAAGAGAUCAUGCUUCUAUUAUAGGUGGUUAUAAGGUACCAUAAAUGCAAAAUACAACUACCACUCCUUCAAAUUAUUUUUUUAAUGUCUGCAUUAUAUCCCAGCUUUUCUUAUUAUUUAAUUUCAUAGUCAAUUUUUACUAUGAUAUUCAUAAGCUGUCUACAAUAGUUCCAUUUAAAAAUUAUGAACAAUUUCAAGUUCAAUAUUCUAUGAAAAUACCUUCCUCCAUUUGAUUAUCUUUAAAAUAGACCGCAUUUUAGUUCUUAACGUUUUGCCUCCACAUGCAAGCAUGAUCCAACUUUCAAUCUUGUAAUAGUGAUUUAGAUGAUAAAUUGCAAGCUCCUAACUGAAUUUUGCCAGAAAAAAGUGUAUAUGUACAGUAAUUGACUCUUGCCAUUUUUACCAGGUAUUCCUUUUCUAUUUUUGUGUCUACACAAUGUAAUCUAUUAGAUAUAUGUUGAAACAGCAAUUUUUAACUAUUUCUACUGCUUGAUUCUAAUUUUUAACAUGCAUGGUCUUCCUCAGUUCAAUAAAACUUGCAACAUGACAACAUGCACACCUAAACACACAUGAUCAUCUAAUGGACUGCAACCUCCAACUCAACAAUUAGGUAUUUAUCACAUAUCCUAGACUUCAAUGCUUAUUGUUGUGCAUUCAGCCACUCUACUCGAAAUUCAAAUGUUCCCAUAUCUCUCGUGCACCAUUUCACUUAGUUCACAGAGCUUCUUGUAUAGAAAUUACUUUACCUUUACAAUUGCUGAAUUUUGCGGUCAUCAAACUCCGAAGAAAUAAUUUUACAUAGUUUGCAACUGUUAAUAUUCUCUUCUGAUUACAAUAAUAAUACCACAUUUUUUGCUGAUAUUAUUAUCCUCUUUCAGGUUGCCAUGCUUCACAUGCUACAUUGCAGUUAUCAAACCUUUCAAACAAACUAUUUCACACAGUUUCCAAUUGUAAAUGUGCUUUUCCAAUUACAAUAAUAAUAACACACUUUCUUGCUUGUA